CUCUCUCUCUCUCUCUCUCUCUCUCUCUCUCUCUCUCUCUCUCUCUCUCUCCUGGCGCAGCAAUAACGACUACGUCGCCAUGAUGUGCGACCACCGAUUUGAGAUCGAGAGACCGAUGGAAUUCUAAAGUUGUUCGACUGGUGGCUCAUCCCUUCAGCCUUCCCCGACGACUCCAAGGUCUUUUAGCUCAAGAUGAGGGGCAAUUACGAUAGCUAUCUUGAUGAGUUCAAGAUCAGAACCGAGCGCAAUGACCAGUCAACCAUAUUUGAUCUCAUUAUGCUGUAGAUGAAAUUACACGUCCUAAUAGGUACUUGGAAAUUGCAAUCAAUGGAGGCUUGAAUCAACAAAGAAUUGGGGGAGGAGGGUGACUUUCAUAAAACGGGAUAACACAUUUUGCUAUCCUUGACGAAUAGCGUAACGACAUGCGGGAAAUUUUUCAAUGUAUAAUUGCAUUAUUGG